GCCACAUGCAUAAGUUUCUCCCUCCUUUUCUUCAUCCUUGUCCCCCUUUUUCUUCUUCCUCCCACAUAGCACUUUUCUCGGUCCGCAAUCUUACAAUAUCUUGUUCCUUAUAGUCUGUCUUUUUACUUAUCAUAUCGUCAUAUCGAGAACAUUCAGCUUCACAUUAUUUCCCAGGAUUAAUGCCAAUGUUCUUCAGAACUUGAAUAGAAGCUUCACAUCCAACAUUGAAGUGGGCAAUAGCAUCAUGUACUCCACGUUGCAGUACGUCCGAGC